rnacentral:rRNA from 1 species
UACGGGGGGUGCGAGCGUUGUUCGGAAUCAUUGGGCGUAAAGCGCACGUAGGCGGCCUGGUCAGUCGGAUGUGAAAGCCCCGGGCUUAACCUGGGAACUGCAUUCGAUACUGCCUGGCUAGAGUGUGGUAGAGGGAGGUGGAAUUCCAGGUGUAGCGGUGAAAUGCGUAGAUAUCAGGAGGAACACCGGUGGCGAAGGCGACUUUCUGGCCCUAUACUGACGCUGAGACGCGAGAGCGUGGGUAGCAAACAGG